GAUACUUGUCACUCGGAGAAGCCUUCGGAAGAUGGUGUUAAAAAGGCGCCAGGUGGAGGCCGGCGGCUUGCUGCUGGGAUGCAGAUGGACAGUCCUUGCUUCUGGUCCCUUCGGGUUUCCCAGGCGAGAGACGGCAGUGGUCUGCAGAGCAUCAGCCUCCAUCUGCUCUCCGGCCCUUGCCGAGGUAUCUCUCCAGGCUUGAGUCUUGCUUUAUGACACCUGCCGACAGCAGGCAAUUGGGAAACUUGGCGGUUUGUUGAGGGACCUGACAAAUCCUGAAGAUAAAGAACUGGAGAGAGCUGGGGAGAUAGCUCAACUGGAUGGGAAAGCUUCAAAGAAAGCGAUGUGUCACUUUCGCAUGCUUUACCACUACACCCUAGACAUCUGGGCCAUGUGAUUCUGGGGGUGUCCUGGGUACAGUCGGUGUUUAGCAGCUUGCCUGGUGUCUUGGACAAUACUAACCCUUUCCUGGAUAUGUUAUGCUUGGAAUGUGCUGGAAACCUGGGGUAGUGAAAUGCACGUCAGCAAAGCAACUUGGUUCUCAACUAGAUCAUGAAUCAGCUGCAUGAUGGGUAACUCCUUGGGCAGGUAACCCUACUUCUCUGAGGCUACCUAGCAGGAUCUGUCCUUUCUACAAGUACAAAAGCCUUCAUUGAGGGCACAGAAAUCCAACAGGCACUAAAGAUGUGGCAUACACAGCUGACAACAGUCCAAGUGUGGUGGCUCACACCUACAAUCCCAGUCUGCAGGGAGGCUAAAGCACUAACAUCGCUUCGAUUCCAAGAUCAGCCUGGCCUACGUGGUGAGUUCCAGGCUAACCUGGUAGAAGGUCCUUGACUCAAAACAAACAAAGAAACAGUAUUAUUUUGCUGUUUUGUGAGGUCCCAG